rnacentral:rRNA from 1 species
GAUGAACGCUGGCGGCGUGCCUAAUACAUGCAAGUCGAACGCUGGAGAUCUAGCUUGCUAGAUCGAAGGAGUGGCGAACGGGUGAGUAAUACAUAAGCAACCUACCCACGAAGACUGGGAUAAUCUCUGGAAACGGGGACUAAUACCGGAUAGGUAAUCGGAAGGCAUCUUCUGGUUAUUAAAGGUUAAAAACACUGGUGGAUGGGCUUAUGGCGCAUUAGUUAGUUGGUGAGGUAACGGCCCACCAAGACGAUGAUGCGUAGCCGGCCUGAGAGGGUGAACGGCCACAUUGGGACUGCGACACGGCCCAGACUCCUACGGGAGGCAGCAGUAGGGAACUUUCGGCAAUGGGGGCAAACCUGACCGAGCAACGCCGCGUGAGUGAAGACGGCCUUCGGGUUGUAAAGCUCUGUUGUAAGGGAAGAACGGUAGAUAGAGAAUAUCUAAGUGACGGUACCUUACCAGAAAGCCACGGCUAACUACGUG